rnacentral:rRNA from 1 species
GAUGAACGCUAGCGGCAGGCUUAACACAUGCAAGUCGAGGGGCAGCAUAUUUUGUAGUAAUACAAGGUGAUGGCGACCGGCGCACGGGUGCGUAACGCGUAUGCAACCUACCAUAUACAGGGGGAUAAACUUUCGAAAGGGAGCCUAAUACCCCAUAGUAUUAUUUUUAGGCAUCGGAGAAUAAUUAAAGAUAAAUUGGUAUAUGAUGGGCAUGCGUGUGAUUAGCUAGUUGGUAAGGUAUCGGCUUAGCAAGGCGACGAUGACUAGGGGUUCUGAGAGGAAGAUCCCCCACACUGGUACUGAGACACGGACCAGACUCCUACGGGAGGCAGCAGUGAGGAAUAUUGGUCAAUGGGCGAGAGCCUGAACCAGCCAUGCCGCGUGCAGGAAGACGGCCCUAUGGGUUGUAAACUGCUUUUAUGUGAGGAUAAACCUAUUCUUGCGAGAGUAGCUGAAGGUAUCACAUGAAUAAGGAUCGGCUAACUCCGUGCCAGCAGCCGCAGUAA